rnacentral:lncRNA from 9 species
CAGAUGGGUUCUUGGUCAUAGUGGUAGCAGUGGAAAUGAAAACAGGUAAAUGCACUGACAAGAGGGAAUUACAAAGAUCUGUAUUACCAGGAUGCUGGUGCAUUUCACCAUGAUAGAAGGCAGUGAGAAAGAACUGUCUUUGGGGUAGAGAAAAGCACAAGAGAGGACAUGGCUUAAAUGAGACAGAGUGACACUUCCUUUGCACUUUUCUUUCAGUGGCAAAAUAGAUCAUAUCAUGUUAAUGUCCUUUAUAUUUUAGGCAUGGAAACUUUCAUGUUCCACAUGCUGUGUAAACAAAGGAAAGUUCCAGGAUUCAUUGUAGAACCACCCAACUUGCUUCAUGGGAUGUGGAAUUUGGAAUGACGGUCACCCAAUUUUUUUGGAAGGAAGGAGGUAUCUACAGUAUACUGAAGGAAGCCCCACAGUCAUUACUACUGGACAGUGCUCUGUCACACAACAGUGGAUCCUAAGAUUCUGAAUCCAGGGAAAGCUACUAAAAGAUUAAAAUCACUGUGAUUCAUCAGAGAGGACCUCCUUAAACUCCUAAUGACCCUAGAAGAUAAUCCUUUUUCAGAAGAGAAGGCUGUUUGGAUAUAGAAUCCUGGUACCCAAGAAGGAAGUUUUUGUGUUUGGUACCCAUUCUGAUGGCUUCUCGUUUAGUUCCAUUUUUCUCCUCCAUUAGGAAUAUUGUAAGAAGAGCCCUGGGGGCAUACAGAGACACUUUUCUUCUAUGGCACUGGGGCCACAGGGCAGUCAGCCAGAACUAAAAGAAGCAACAAGCACAUGCUCAGAACCCAGGCUCAGUCACUAACACAGGUGCUGAGUGGACAACUCCCAAGAUGGAGAGACACAUGGAUUUGGUACUUGGAAAGUUCCUGUUGGAUCUAUUCUGGUCCUUGACAUGGGGAAAAUUUGACAUGCAUUGCUUUCUGAUUGGAAAUAAAUAUUCUGAAGGUAAGUGGAUAUUUUCUCUCUUGCACACAGGAGGUACCAAGGAAAUAUUUGACAGUUCUGGUGGGACAGGAGGGUACUAUUGUAUCAGAACACUCUGACAUCUGUCCAGUUAUGCUCUGCUUGGAGCCAAAGUGUAUCCUUUAGACCUCAUAUUAGAUUUUUCUACAGAGAUUCCAUACUCAGCAAACCUGCCACAAACUUGCCCCCAACAAGAAAAAGACUGUGUCACUUUUGUUCGGCAAAGUGGUAAGAGAACAAUGAAGUCUUUGUAUACAACUGUGAAAUGACACCCCCGCCCCAGGAAAUGCCAAUGCAGCUGGGGGACUUAGACCUCUAAUCAACACUUUGAAUGCUUCUUGGAAAUAUGGAAUAAAUUAUAUACAAAGUAAAUAAAGG